UCCUACGGGAGGCAGCAGAGGGGAAUAUUGGACAAUGGGCGCAAGCCUGAUCCAGCCAUGCCGCGUGCAGGACGAAGGCCUUCGGGUUGUAAACUGCUUUUGUACGAAACGAAACGGUCUGGGUUAAUACCCUGGGCUAAUGACGGUACCGUAAGAAUAAGCACCGGCUAACUACGUGCCAGCAGCCGCGGUAAUACGUAGGGUGCGAGCGUUAAUCGGAAUUACUGGGCGUAAAGCGUGCGCAGGCGGUUUUGUAAGACAGGCGUGAAAUCCCCGGGCUCAACCUGGGAAUGGCGCUUGUGACUGCAAAGCUAGAGUGCGGCAGAGGGGGAUGGAAUUCCGCGUGUAGCAGUGAAAUGCGUAGAUAUGCGGAGGAACACCGAUGGCGAAGGCAAUCCCCUGGGCCUGCACUGACGCUCAUGCACGAAAGCGUGGGGAGCAAACAGGAUUAGAUACCCUGGUAGUCCACGCCCUAAACGAUGUCAACUGGUUGUUGGUCCUUAGCUGGAUCAGUAACGAAGCUAACGCGUGAAGUUGACCGCCUGGGGAGUACGGCCGCAAGGUUGAAACUCAAAUGAAUUGACGGA
rnacentral:rRNA from 1 species